rnacentral:rRNA from 1 species
AUGCUGAUCAGGUGCCCCCAUUGUCCAAUAUUCCCCACUGCUGCCUCCCGUAGAGUCCGGGCCGUGUCUCAGUCCCGGAGAGGCUGAUCAUCCUCUCACACCAGCUACAGAUCGUCGCCAUGGUAGGCCUUUACCCCACAUCUAGCUAAUCCGACUUAGGCUCAUCUAAUAGCGAGAGCAACAAGUUGCCCCCUUUCUCCCGUAGGUCGUAUGCGGUAUUAAUUCGAGUUUCCCCGAGCUAU